rnacentral:rRNA from 1 species
CAAAAACAUGUCCUUGGUGUUUGCCCUGCGCCCGCGGCCGCGCAAAGGUAGNANAAUCAUUNGUNUUUNAAAAGGGGGNUGGAAUGAAAGGUUNGANGAGGUGCUAACUGUCUCAUUUUAUUUGAAAAUUUAAUUUUUUAGUCAAAAAGCUAAAAUUUAAUUGGUAGACGAGAAGACCCUAUAGAGCUUUAUAUAUAUUUUGUUGGGGUGACAGAAAUAUUUUUUAUUUAUAUAACAUUAAUUUAUGAAUAUUAGAUCCAUUAUUAUUGAUUAAUAGAUUAAGUUACCUUAGGGAUAACAGCGUAAUCCUCCCCCAGAGUUCAUAUUUACUUGCGACCUCCAUGUUGGAUUAAAAUAAUAUUUAUGUGUAGCCGCUUAAAAAAUAGGUCUGUUCGACCUUUAAUUUCUUACAUGAUCUGA